ensembl:lncRNA
CUCCCAUCGACCUCCUCCCAAGAUGAACAAGGAAGUGUUGGGGGUGGGGACUCAGGGAGGAAUCACUUCCACCCAGGGGUUGGGCUGACUAAUACCAUGAAACAAGGGCAGGGGAGGGAACAAUAUAGGGGGCAUCCACCCCAAGAACAUAUGGCGAUAUAUGCUGUUGGCCAUGUCCCUCAGAUGCACCCACAGGCCUGGAAAUGCAAAACACCUGACUGAGCUCAGGGCUCUUAACCCUCUCAUUACACCUCCCUGGGGGAUCAACGAUGGAAUGGCAUUUGAAGGCCUCCCUAGGUUAGGGUUUUACAGAGACUUCUCAAUAAAAGUUCUGAGGAGUGAUUUUUUUCCUCCCCAACCCUACCAUCAGUUCCGUAGACCAAUUACAGGAACACGUACAAACUUGUGUCUGGUAGGUGGGUUGUGGCAUCACUGAAGCUCACCCCCAGUUCUCUCUGACCCCCCAGUUAAGUCAUAUUGAACUCAGUUCAGUCUCAGAACAGCCUUCACCUUUGCUCUGUGCCUCCCCUGCCACCCAGAGUGCCCCAGGGCUCAUUCUGCCUCUUCAUCCAAGCCUCAUUUCAUCAAGGGAAUCUUUCUUUGUUGCCUGACCAUUGCCUAUGUCCAGUCUACAUUAUACAUUCUCGCAGACCUGGGGAAGCUCCCACUGGCACUUGGUCUAAUUGUUUUUGUGCUAGCUAUUUACAGAACUGUCUCCCAACGACACUGUGAGCUCCAUGAGGGCAGAGACUGUGCUUGUUUGUUCAGUGCUGUGUCCCUGGUACCCAGUCCAGGGCCUGGUACACAGCAGGUGCUCAAUAAACACAUCUGUUGACUCAACAAAGGCAUCUGGGAAUAAACCAAUACCCAUCAAUAAAUGAAUUGAUAGUUUUGGAACAUACAUGAAGACCCCACUUCUCUCUGGUCUCCCCUUGAAGAAAUACCAGAGGGUGAUGGUUGCAGCAGGUGUUUAUUGGGAAGAAUAAUUAAAUUUGUGGACACUCAAGGGCCAGCCAGCCAACUAAUAGCCCCAGGAGAGAGCCAGGCUCGUUUAAUUAGCAAUUACAAGGCAUUGAUUCCUCAUUAGCUCUGGCAACCUCGUCUCCCUCCUCAGCCCCAGACGAAUGAAAUCUUUCUCUUUCCCAGGAGUACUGCCUCAGUGGGUCCAUUAACAAGCAGAGAAAAUAGGAUUACGAGAUAUCUAAAUGCCAGAGGCUCUUCAUGAAUGGGGAGGGGAGAGAGAGUUCAAUAUCUGGGUUAAGGCUAAUUGUGAGAGACUUUCUGGUAUAUUUAGAAUUCUUCUCUGGGAAUGGGAGAGCUUUCAGAUAUGAAAGGCUCUCCACAUCCCAGAGACCCACCCUCUCCCAUAUUCCCCAGGGAAAGUCAUUCUCAUCAUAUCUGUCCUCUUCUCCAGCCCCCUACCUCCAUCACUACUUGGUCAUCUCAUAGUCUCUUCCUUCUUCUCUCAAAACACACACACAGCCACUUUAUUCCCCACACACAGUGAGGGGUCUUUCUAGAUCGCAUAUCUGACCAUGUCCCACCCUUGCUUUAACUCUUUCAAGACUCCCAUCACCUGCAGGAUAAGAUUCAAAUAUCCUCACAUGACUUGCAUGAUCUUGCCCCUCCUUGCUGAGAGUAAUAGCCUAUCAUUUCCCACCAGGUAUAUUCAACAACUAGCCUGCCAACUAUCACUUCUUGCUUGAAUUCUCCAAUUUUAAUAUGAGGAUGAUUCCCCUAGGAAACUCACCUUCCCAGGAUCCUCUCAGUUUCAGUAAGCCAGGGGUGGGGUAGUUCAAGGAAUCUGCAUUUUGAGCAGCUUCCCCAUUGAUUCUUAUUUAGGGGAAUCUUUCCUUUGAUUAAAAAAAGAAAAGCCCCACUAGUCUGGGGACUUCCCUGGUGGUCCAGUGGUUAAUAUCCCACGCUUUUACUGCAG